AUUGAACGCUGGCGGCAGGCCUAACACAUGCAAGUCGAGCGAGCGGCGGACGGGUGAGUACUGUAUGGGGACUGCCCGAUAGAGGGGGAGAACGACAGGAAACGGUAGCUACUACCGCAUACUAUCGAAUAACCCCGAUGGGGUUAGCUAGUGGGUGGGGUAAUGGCUCACCUAGGCGACGAUCCCUGGCUGGUCUGAGAGGAUGAUCAGCCACACUGGGACUGAGACACGGCCCAGACUCCUACGGAGGCAGCAGUGGGGAAUAUUGGACAAUGGGCGAAAGCCUGAUGCAGCCAUGCCGCGUGUAUGAAGAAGGCCCUAGGGUUGUAAAGUACUUUCAGUCGGGAGGCGUUACCGACAGAAGAAGCACCGGCUAACUCCGUGCCAGCAGCCGCGGUAAUUC
rnacentral:rRNA from 1 species